CGUCUAUAUACGUAUAGCAUAUCAAUAAGCGGAGGAAAAGAAACUAACUAGGAUUCCCUCAGUAACGGCGAGUGAAGCGGGAAGAGCUCAAAUUUGAAAUCUUCAAGGUUCUACCUUGACGAAUUGUAGUUUAAAGAAGUGUUUUCCUGUUGGAGUUUUGGUAAAAGUUCUUUGGAAUAGGACAUCAUAGAGGGUGAGAAUCCCGUAUUUGACCAUUAUUUCCAACUUUGUGAUACACUUUCAAAGAGUCGGAUUGUUUGGGAAUGCAGUCCAAAAUGGGUGGUAAAUUUCAUCUAAAGCUAAAUACUUGGCGAGAGACCGAUAGCGAACAAGUACCGUGAGGGAAAGAUGAAAAGAACUUUGAAAGAGAGUUAAACAGUACGUGAAAUUGUCAAAAGGGAAGCGUUUGACACCAGUGUUGUUUUCUCGAAAAUCAAUUAAAAAUGGUGGGAUUUUGUGUUGUAUUGACUUUAUCAGCUUUCUGCACUUUUUUCCUAUCUUUUUUAAUGCACUUUUCGUUUAACAAGUCGACAUCAAUUUCUUUUGCUGUAAAAGGGUCAUUGGAAGGUGGCUUUCUUUUCGGAGAAAGUGUUUAUAGCCUUUGACUUCUGCAAUCGGAGAGAUUGAGGUCUGCAGCGUAGAUCCUUCGGGGUUAGAUGCAUUUGUGCUAAGUUAUAGCCUUUCAUAGACAACUUGUUGACUAUGAUCAGUCCAUGUAGCUUACUCGCUUAUGUCUAUUUUACCUACGCUUAGGAUGUUGACGAUCAGCUGAGCGCG
rnacentral:rRNA from 1 species